rnacentral:rRNA from 1 species
GAUGAACGCUGGCGGCGUGCCUAAUACAUGCAAGUCGAGCGAACAGACGAGGAGCUUGCUCCUCUGACGUUAGCGGCGGACGGGUGAGUAACACGUGGAUAACCUACCUAUAAGACUGGGAUAACUUCGGGAAACCGGAGCUAAUACCGGAUAAUAUUUUGAACCGCAUGGUUCAAUAGUGAAAGACGGUUUUGCUGUCACUUAUAGAUGGAUCCGCGCCGCAUUAGCUAGUUGGUAAGGUAACGGCUUACCAAGGCAACGAUGCGUAGCCGACCUGAGAGGGUGAUCGGCCACACUGGAACUGAGACACGGUCCAGACUCCUACGCGAGGCAGCAGUAGGGAAUCUUCCGCAAUGGGCGAAAGCCUGACGGAGCAACGCCGCGUGAGUGAUGAAGGUCUUCGGAUCGUAAAACUCUGUUAUUAGGGAAGAACAAAUGUGUAAGUAACUAUGCACGUCUUGACGGUACCUAAUCAGAAAGCCACGGCUAACUACGUG